rnacentral:rRNA from 1 species
GAUGAACGCUGGCGGCGUGCCUAAUACAUGCAAGUCGAGCGAACGGACGAGAAGCUUGCUUCUCUGAUGUUAGCGGCGGACGGGUGAGUAACAAGUGGAUAACCUACCUAUAAGACUGGGAUAACUUCGGGAAACCGGAGCUAAUACCGGAUAAUAUUUUGAACCGCAUGGUUCAAAAGUGAAAGACGGUCUUGCUGUCACUUAUAGAUGGAUCCGCGCUGCAUUAGCUAGUUGGUAAGGUAACGGCUUACCAAGGCAACGAUGCAUAGCCGACCUGAGAGGGUGAUCGGCCACACUGGAACUGAGACACGGCCCAGACUCCUACGGGAGGCAGCAGUAGGGAAUCUUCCGCAAUGGGCGAAAGCCUGACGGAGCAACGCCGCGUGAGUGAUGAAGGUCUUCGGAUCGUAAAACUCUGUUAUUAGGGAAGAACAUAUGUGUAAGUAACUGUGCACAUCUUGACGGUACCUAAUCAGAAAGCCACGGCUAACUACGUG